UACGAAGGGGGCUAGCGUUGUUCGGAAUCACCGGGCGUAAAGCGCGCGUAGGCGGAUUGUUAAGUCGGGGGUGAAAUCCUGAGGCUCAACCUCAGAACUGCCUUCGAUACUGGCAAUCUUUGAGUCCGGGAGAGGUGAGCGGAACUCCUAGUGUAGAGGUGAAAUUCGUAGAUAUUAGGAAGAACACCAGUGGCGAAGGCGGCUCACUGGCCCGGUACUGACGCUGAUGCGCGAAAGCGUGUGGAGCAAACAGG
rnacentral:misc_RNA from 1 species